UACGUAGGGUGCGAGCGUUGUCCGGAAUUAUUGGGCGUAAAGAGCUCGUAGGCGGCCUAUUGCGUUUGCUGUGAAAGCCCGGGGCUUAACCCCGGGUCUGCAGUGGAUACGGGCAGGCUAGAGUUCGGCAGGGGAGACUGGAAUUCCUGGUGUAGCGGUGAAAUGCGCAGAUAUCAGGAGGAACACCAAUGGCGAAGGCAGUCCCCUGGGCCUGUACUGACGCUCAUGCACGAAAGCGUGGGGAGCAAACAGG
rnacentral:rRNA from 1 species